rnacentral:rRNA from 1 species
UCAUUUGCCUUUUAAUUAGAGGCUAGUAUGAAUGGUUGAACGAAAUACAAACUGUCUCAUUUUUAUAAUUUUAAUAAUUUAGCUUUCUAGUUAAAAGGCUUGAAUAUUAUUAGAGGACGAGAAGACCCUAUAGAACUUUAUAUAUUUUUAUUUAGAUUUAUAUACUAAAAUAUUUUUAUUUAUUUAAAUGUGUGUUUUGUUGGGGUGACAGGGAAAUAAAUAUACCUUUCUUAAAUACUUAAACACUGAUUAUUGAAUUUUUGAUCCAUUAAUAUUGAUUAUUACAAUAAGUUACCUUAUGGAUAACAGCGUAAUUUUGUUGGAGAGUUCAUAUCUAUAAUAAAGUUUGCGACCUCG